rnacentral:lncRNA from 10 species
GUACUUACCCUGUAUGUAGGUGGCGUUGCAGGGUGUUUCGGUCUCGUGAAAAUUAUUUCUCAUUUGUAAAGAUAUGCUAUUGAUCCUACAGAAAGGUACGACAACAUAUGUUAGGCCUGUCUGUGUUAAGAUAAUAAAAACCUUAUUAUCUAAGGUUUUACCCUUUACCAAACAGUGUUGACAGGGACGCUGUGAAAAAGACUGUGAAAAAGAAUUGGAAUGAGGGGUGGACUGAGUUUCCCGGAGCUCAGUCAUACAGAACUCCAAUGAAAUACCCAAAGCAAUUAGAGAAGUCCAGUUACUGGUAUCUAGCGAAAGAGCAAAUUUUAUAUGAACAAAUUCCUACUAUAAAUGCUGUGGCUCAUCAGAAAAAGGAAACAACGUCAAAGGCUCGCUGCAGAAAAUAGUACUCGGGCUAGGUCUCCGACAAUGGAAAAAUACACAUACACAAGUUUAUUAAUCGCAGUAUUGUCUGCAAUUGCAAACUUUUGGAAACAAUAAUGAAACUUUUGAACUAGGGAGCCCAGCAUUUUCAUGUUGCCCAGGGCCCUGCAAAUUAUGUAGCUAGUCCAGUCUGCCUCUACUUGACAAAUUUGCAGAAAAAGCAGCCUCAUUCACACAGUGCACCCUGUCCCUGGGCCCCAGUUGAUUGCUCUUUCAGUAAGCCCCUGACCUAAGCUCAACCCAAUUAAAUUCCUUUCCCAAGAAUUUGGAAUGGGAAUUAAGUGGCCCCCACAGUCUGACACAUCGAUUGAAGAGAGUAAAUGUGAAUUAAGGAGCUAUUUAAAGCGCCUAAUAAUAGAUGGACACCAUGGUAGUUGGCUGCAGGUUGCAGAAUGAAGCAGAAGUCCAGAAACUAGUCAAAGAUAAUACUUGGUGUAUCCAAUUAGUUCCCAAGAACAUAUUACAUUAAUGUCUUCUAUUUCCAUUAUCCUUGGACCUUUAUAAAGUAUGUCUUUUGCAGCCGGGUGCGGUGGCUCACGCCUGUAAUCCCAGCACUUUGGGAGGCCGAGGCGGGCUGAUCACCUGAGGUCGGGAGUUCGAGACCAGCCUGAUCAAUAUGGAGAAACACUGUCUCUACUAAAAAUACAAAAUUAGUUGGGCGUGGUG